ensembl:lncRNA
GGGGAGGUGUGGUCAGGCACAGUAGGGAUGGGGGUGUGGUCAGGCACAGUAGGGAUAGGGGUGUGGUCAGGCACAGUAGGGAUGGGGGUGUGGUCAGGCACAGUAGGGAUGGGGGUGUGGUCAGGCACAGUAGGGUUGGGGGUGUGGUCAGACACAAGGGAUGGGGGUGUGGUCAGGCACAAGGGAUCAGGGGGGUGUGGUCAGGCACAGUAGGGAUGGGGGUGUGGUCAGGCACAGUAGGGAUGGGGGUGUGGUCAGGCACAGUAGGGUUGGGGGUGUGGUCAGGCACAGUAGGGAUGGGGGUGUGGUCAUUCACAGUUGGUGAUGGGGUGUGGUCAGGCACAGUAGGGUUGGGGGUGUGGUCAGGCACAGUAGGGAUGGGGGUGUGGUCAGGCACAGUAGGGAUGGGGGUGUGGUCAGGCACAGUAGGGUUGGGGGUGUGGUCAGGCACAAGGGAUGGGGUGUGGCCAGGCACAGUAGGGAUGGGGGUGUGGUCAGGCACAGUAGGGAUGGGGGUGUGGUCAGGCACAGUAGGGUUGGGGGUGUGGUCAGACACAAGGGAUGGGGGUGUGACCAGGCACAGUAGGGAUGGGGGUGUGGUCAGGUACUAGGGAUGGGGGUGUGGUCAGGCACAGUAGGGAUGGGGGUGUGGUCAGGCACUAGGGAUGGGGGUGUGGUCAGGCACUAGGGAUGGGGGUGUGGUCAGGCACAGUAGGGAUGGGGGUGUGGUCAGGCACAGUAGGGAUGGGGGUGUGGUCAGGUACUAGGGAUGGGGGUGUGGUCAGGCACAGUAGGGAUGGGGGUGUGGUCAGGCACAGUAGGGAUGGGGGGGUGGUCAGCUACUAGGGAUGGGGGUGUGGUCAGGCACAGUAGGGAUGGGGGUGUGGUCAGGCACAGUAGGGAUGGGGGUGUGGUCAGGCACUAGGGAUGGGGUUGUGGUCAGGCACAGUAGGGAUGGGGGGGGUGUGGUCAGGCACAGUAGGGAUGGGGGUGUGGUCAGGUACUAGGGAUGGGGGUGUGGUCAGGCACAGUAGGGAUGGAGGUGUGGUCAGGUACUAGGGAUGGGGGUGUGGUCAGGCACAGUAGGGAUGGGGGUGUGGUCAGGCACUAGGGAUGGGGGGGGGGGUGUGGUCAGGCACUAGGGAUGGGGGUGUGGUCAGGCACUAGGGAUGGGGGUGUGGUCAGGCACUAGGGAUGGGGGUGUAGUCAGGCACUAGGGAUGGGGGUGUGGUCAGGCACAGUAGGGAUGGGGGUGUGGUCAGGCACUAGGGAUGGGGGUGUGGUCAGGUACUAGGGAUGGGGGUGUGGUCAGGCACUAGGGAUGGGGGUGUGGUCAGGCACUAGGGAUGGGGGUGUGGUCAGGCACAGUAGGGAUGGGGGUGUGGUCAGGCACUAGGGAUGGGGGUGUGGUCAGGCACUAGGGAUGGGGGUGUGGUCAGGCACAGUAGGGAUGGGGGUGUUGUCAGGCACUAGGGAUGGGGGUGUGGUCAGGC